rnacentral:lncRNA from 1 species
CUGCGUCUCUAUGUACUUCGGUUCAAAGCCUAGAAACGUUGAAAAUGCGAGAACCUGGAAACACACUGCCGUGAGAGAAAGUAGGUACACCGACGACUUCAUAAUAGUAAUGAGUGUGGAUGCAAUAACUGAAACAGAUUUAUGUCGUCGGUGCCCGUGUUGAUGUGUUGGUCCUUCCUGGCUGGAAUUCAGCCUCCUUGGGAAGAAGAACAUUGGAAUAGCAAUCAAAAUGGUAGCCAGACCUAUGAUUAUAAAUCCUAGCCACCAAGCGCCGAUAAAGCAGGUGUCCGUCGGGGAUAGGUGACAUACACACUGCUUAUGAGGCUUCCAAUGCCAUAGCCAAGCGCCAGACCAAACACUGCAAUGCUCGAAAUUGUACCUGCAUUGAUAUGGUGUAAUCGGAUUAUGAAGCAGUGGAGAUUAACCUGAGAAACACGAGGAAUACUGGUAUGGAGGCAACAGCAUCCACAAGAUUCAUAAUAAACUUAGCCACGGAGUACGGCCACACCAUGUUACAAUUCGACGGACACAUUCCC